GUCCUCUUCGGGGUCACAUACGAAAAAAUUGGAACGAUACAGAGAAGAUUAGCAUGGGCCC
rnacentral:snRNA from 1 species